rnacentral:rRNA from 1 species
AGUGAACGCUGGCGGUAGGCCUAACACAUGCAAGUCGAACGGCAGCACAGUAAGAGCUUGCUCUUACGGGUGGCGAGUGGCGGACGGGUGAGGAAUACAUCGGAAUCUACUUUUUCGUGGGGGAUAACGUAGGGAAACUUACGCUAAUACCGCAUACGACCUACGGGUGAAAGCAGGGGAUCUUCGGACCUUGCGCGAUUGAAUGAGCCGAUGUUGGAUUAGCUAGUUGGCGGGGUAAAGGCCCACCAAGGCGACGAUCCGUAGCUGGUCUGAGAGGAUGAUCAGCCACACUGGAACUGAGACACGGUCCAGACUCCUACGGGAGGCAGCAGUGGGGAAUAUUGGACAAUGGGCGCAAGCCUGAUCCAGCCAUACCGCGUGGGUGAAGAAGGCCUUCGGGUUGUAAAGCCCUUUUGUUGGGAAAGAAAGGCAGCAGGUUAAUACCCCGCUGUUCUGACGGUACCCAAAGAAUAAGCACCGGCUAACUUCGUG